rnacentral:rRNA from 1 species
GAUGAACGCUGGCGGCGUGCCUAAUACAUGCAAGUCGAGCGAACAGACGAGGAGCUUGCUCCUCUGACGUUAGCGGCGGACGGGUGAGUAACACGUGGAUAACCUACCUAUAAGACUGGGAUAACUUCGGGAAACCGGAGCUAAUACCGGAUAAUAUAUUGAACCGCAUGGUUCAAUAGUGAAAGACGGUUUUGCUGUCACUUAUAGAUGGAUCCGCGCCGCAUUAGCUAGUUGGUAAGGUAACGGCUUACCAAGGCGACGAUGCGUAGCCGACCUGAGAGGGUGAUCGGCCACACUGGAACUGAGACACGGUCCAGACUCCUACGGGAGGCAGCAGUAGGGAAUCUUCCGCAAUGGGCGAAAGCCUGACGGAGGAACGCCGCGUGAGUGAUGAAGGUCUUCCGAUCGUAAAACUCUGUUAUUAGGGAAGAACAAAUGUGUAAGUAACUAUGCACGUCUUGACGGUACCUAAUCAGAAAGCCACGGCUAACUACGUG